rnacentral:rRNA from 1 species
UACGUAGGGUGCGAGCGUUAAUCGGAAUUACUGGGCGUAAAGAGUGCGUAGGCGGUUCUCCAAGUCCGUUGUGAAAGCCCCGGGCUCAACCUGGGAAUGGCAGUGGAAACUAGGGGACUUGAAUCUGGCAGAGGGGGGUGGAAUGCCGCGUGUAGCAGUGAAAUGCGUAGAGAUGCGGCGGAACACCGAUGGCGAAGGCGGCUCACUGGCCCGGUACUGACGCUGAGGUGCGAAAGCGUGGGGAGCAAACAGG